AUUGCUCCCCUCAUGGUGGGAUGCUGUUCUUUAGUUGUACUUGAGCUCAUCGUUGGCUUCCGGAAAGAGUAUAAACAUCCAGAGGCACCAACUGUUUUCCACUGUCCAUCUAUCAUUAACAUAUUUCCAUCCAAUAUGUAAGUUGGCAAGUCCCUAACGGGAAAGCUCAAUGAUUUAUAAAGUAAAGCUAGCAGUUUAUACAUUGAUGCUAAACAAAUUCUGAGUUUCAAUCAGGGUAACAAUGUUCUACGGCUCAUCUUGCUUAAUCCUUAUAAUUAUUGCCG
rnacentral:lncRNA from 1 species